UAGAGAAACGCUACUUCUCCACACUCCCAGGAGGGGGUUCUGCUGACAGCUCCUGGACUGUCACCUGAAUUGGGGUGUGACUGGGCCAGGGAUGUCCCAAGCCAACCAGCCAGGCACCUGCACAGGCAAGAAUUCAAUUCUGGGUCCUGAGCAGGGGGUGUCCUGGUCAACAAGCAACUUCAGUUCUUUGGGACGGGACCCCAGACUUGCUGGUAUGACGUCAUUGUUUCUUUACUGGAGGACAGCAGCGUGUUCCAGGAGCGCAAUGCAGUAGAAAGCAACCACUUGGCCCUAGAGACCGAGACUGAUUUCUGGGAAAGAGGCAGCCAGGCUCCUCCGCCUUACGCAGGUCAUGAAGACUCAGUACCCUGAGAUUGAAGGUCCUCAGUUCCUAGCUA